CACCACAGGCCCCAAGGGCCAGUAGCCAAUCACAGUGUAAAGAGUGUACAGGUUCAUAGAAAAGACACCAAUAAUCAAGUCGGCACAUGCCAAGCUGAACAGGAAGUAGUUGUUGACAGUCUGCAGGUGCCUGUUGACUUUGAUGGACACCAUGACCAGGAUGUUCCCAAUGAUGGUCACUAGACUGAGAGAUCCUGCUACCAGGACUAUGAAGACCACCUCAACAGUUUUAUAGGGACUCCCCAGUGCCAUAACAUCCUCGGCGGAGGAGUUUAUAGUCUCAAAACUGCCUGAAAUAUUCAUGUGAUGGGAAAGGAAGAAAGUGAAGAGUCAAUUGUUUAAUUAUCUACUAGUUUCAAACUGGCUGAUACAUGUCGGGGAGUUGGAUGCAGACAGGAGAAAGACCCCACUGGAGCAAAGAUGGUGGUGUAGAAGCUAUGUGAGAAGAACCCACCAUCACAGCAGGAGAGAAGGAAUGGUAGAUAAUGCAGAGGAUCAAGUGCAUUCAUUGCCAGGGAGAUAAUGAAGAGGCGCUGUGUUGUUUGUUUGCUUUGACAAUUGCACAUGCCAGAGAAAUAGGCGCAAGCUUCAGGUGGGGCUUGAAGGGCAUGCCCUAUCCUACACAGAUGGAGUGGAGUCUUCAGUCAGGGAGUGGAUGAUGCCU